rnacentral:rRNA from 1 species
CCUACGGGAGGCAGCAGUGGGGAAUAUUGGACAAUGGGCGAAAGCCUGAUCCAGCCAUGCCGCGUGUGUGAAGAAGGCCUUCGGGUUGUAAAGCACUUUCAGUGGGGAAGAAAGCCUUGGGGCUAAUACCCUCGAGGAAGGACAUCACCCACAGAAGAAGCACCGGCUAACUCCGUGCCAGCAGCCGCGGUAAUCCGGAGGGUGCGAGCGUUAAUCGGAAUUACUGGGCGUAAAGCGCGCGUAGGCGGUCUGAUAAGCCGGUUGUGAAAGCCCCGGGCUCAACCUGGGAACGGCAUCCGGAACUGUCAGGCUAGAGUGCAGGAGAGGAAGGUAGAAUUCCCGGUGUAGCGGUGAAAUGCGUAGAGAUCGGGAGGAAUACCAGUGGCGAAGGCGGCCUUCUGGACUGACACUGACGCUGAGGUGCGAAAGCGUGGGUAGCAAACAGGAUUAGAUACCCGAGUAGUC